AUCAUUCUUUCGGCUCGGAUCGGAAUCGUCGAUGGGUUGGAUCGGAUCGGAAUCGUGAUUCCGAUUCCGAGCGCCCUUCUCUAGUAUAGAACGGUAACAUGUCUCGCCAAAUAUCUGAGCUUGGAUAUACGGGGACACCCAACCCCUGGGGAAGAUGGGUGAUAUGGCUAAAUUGAGCGGA
rnacentral:ribozyme from 1 species